AGUGAACGCUGGCGGUAGGCCUAACACAUGCAAGUCGAACGGCAGCACAGUAAGAGUUUGCUCUUACGGGUGGCGAGUGGCGGACGGGUGAGGAAUACAUCGGAAUCUUCUUUUUCGUGGGGGAUAACGUAGGGAAACUUACGCUAAUACCGCAUAUGAUCUACGGGUGAAAGCAGGGGAUCUUCGCACCUUGCGCGACUGAAUGAGCCGAUGUCGGAUUAGCUAGUUGGCGGGGUAAAGGCCCACCAAGGCGACGAUCCGUAGCUGGUCUGAGAGGAUGAUCAGCCACACUGGAACUGAGACACGGUCCAGACUCCUACGGGAGGCAGCAGUGGGGAAUAUUGGACAAUGGGCGCAAGCCUGAUCCAGCCAUGCCGCGUGGGUGAAGAAGGCCUUCGGGUUGUAAAGCCCUUUUGUUGGGAAAGAAAAGCAGCAGGUUAAUACCCCGCUGUUCUGACGGUACCCAAAGAAUAAGCACCGGCUAACUUCGUG
rnacentral:rRNA from 1 species